GUUUUCUGCUUAUUCAGCCCUGGCUCCUGGUCACAGCCAUCACAAGGACUUCACAGAACCCAGACUUCCACCUGACCUCAACUCAGGUUGUAGCCCCCUUACAACAGGCUGGGGUGCUUUACUGCUAUUAGCAUGUAAGGUAACCGAAGGCACCUUAGAAACGGGAGUCCGCAGCUUCGUCACGAGAACAACAGCCCCAUCAACCGCGUCUGUGACUUACUUAGAUGGGGCUGAAUCCCAGCAAGGCAAGCUUCUCAGAGCCUGGUAUGGAUGACUAGAACCAGGACUACAAAUGACCAAAGAGGCUUCCAACUUUCUCCGUCCAUCCCUGACACGCACACCCUCUGAGUUGCAGCGAUGUGCAGUGAGCACACGGCUGGACAUCGUCACAGGAAGGCCACCACCUCUCUUCCCUUAGGCCUAGCUUUGCUGUGUAGAGUAUAGUGUGGCCAUUGUCACGGAGACCCCAGCUGUGGAGUCACGCGAGCCCAAAUGUACGUAUCCAGCUCUCUAGUGAAAACCUCCCCUUGGAUAUCAUGCAGUUACUUUCAAUCUCAGCUUGUUGAACAGUGACAAUGGACAGUGAUGGAUUAAAUUUAAACAAAGACACAGGUUAUCGCGUUAUUGGAGGGGCAUGUGCCGCUGUGUUUGGAAGUGAAACGACCCAUGAGUGUCAGUUCUCCCCUUGUACUACGCGGUUCCUGGGGUCCAACUCAGCUUGCCAGACUUGGCAGCAGGCACCUUUUCUCUCUGAGCCAUCCUGCCAGCAUAUAAAUCACAUUUUAAUGGAUAUGGCAGUGGGCUGUUUGUGAAACACUGUAUUAGGUACCUGGAAAGAAAAGACUUUGCUUCUGCAUCUCCCAUGCAAAUCCCUGCUCAGCUGAAGGUUUUGAUGAGUGAAGCCAACGAAUGGCCUGAAGUUCUGCUGUCAUGAAGCGAUGAUCUUCUCAUGGCAGAGUAAGGAAAAUACUUCAUCGUCUUGAAGAUGAAGACAGUCUUCCAUAGGUUACAAUGAGACCCAAUGAGGAUGAGAAAAGCAGCAAUGACCUUAACUGCUCACUUAUCAGGGCAAUAAUGGAAGCAAGAAAACAGAGUGAUAACUGGUAAGCCAGAAUUUCCACUGUGGCAUCCAAGACAUUUUCAGAUCCAGAAAACACCAGAACACUCACCUCUGAUAAUCGCACUACAGUUCAAUUUGCAAAGAUGUUCCUCAAAGAUAAAAACAACAAUCGCAAAGGAAGCUGUGGA